GACGAACGCUGGCGGCGUGCUUAACACAUGCAAGUCGAGCGGUAAGGCCCUUUCGGGGGUACACGAGCGGCGAACGGGUGAGUAACACGUGGGUGACCUGCCCUCAGCUCUGGGAUAAGCCUGGGAAACUGGGUCUAAUACUGGAUAUGACUCCACGGUGCAUGUCGUGGGGUGGAAAGCCUUGUGCGGCUGAGGAUGGGCCCGCGGCCUAUCAGCUUGUUGGUGGGGUGANGGCCUACCAAGGCGACGACGGGUAGCCAGCCUGAGAGGGCGACCGGCCACACUGGGACUGAGACACGGCCCAGACUCCUACGGGAGGCAGCAGUGGGGAAUCUUGCGCAAUGGGCGAAAGCCUGACGCAGCGACGCCGCGUGAGGGAUGACGGCCUCGG
rnacentral:rRNA from 1 species